CCUACGGGAGGCAGCAGUGGGGAAUAUUGGGCAAUGGAGGCAACUCUUACCCAGCAAUGCCGCGUGAAUGAAGAAGGUCUUCGGGGUGUAAAAUUCUUUAAUUGGGGACGAAAAAAAUGACGGUCCCCCAGGCAUGAGCCUCGCCUGACUACGUGCCAGCGGCCGCGGUACUACGUAGGGGGCAAGCGUUGUUCGGAAUUACUGGGCGUAAAGGGUGUGUAGGCGGGGUAGCAAGUUAGAAGUGAAAAACCUAGAGCUUAACUCAGGUGCUGCUUCUAAAACUGCUAUACUUGAGUGCAGUAGAGGAAAGUGGAAUUCCUAGUGUAGCGGUGGAAUGCGUAGAUAUUAGGAGGAACAUCAGUGGCGAAGGCGACGUACCGGACUGUAACUGACGCUGAGGCACGAAAGUGUGGGGAGCAAACAGGAUUAGAUACCCUUGUAGUC
rnacentral:rRNA from 1 species